UCUCCUCCUCUCUCACUUUUUCUCCCACAGAGACCCAAGAUCCCCUUUUCUUCAGCAGAUACAGAUCGAAACCCUAACUUCGAUUUUUAGAAUCUCUUCUCCUCAUUCUUUGUUGAACCCUAAUGAUGUUGUUUGUUUUGUAACAUUGAGGGCCAGUAAAACCCCAACGAUACUGUAUCUGUCUGUUGAUUCUACUUUUUAAUUUCAGAUUUCUUAGUAUUCCCAGAGAUCAAAACCCAAGAAGUGGUGGUGGUUAUGGUGGUCUUGGAGGUGGUAGUGCAAAGAGAUGCUAUAGAGAAUUGAAGGGUUGGAGGAUCACCAAUUUACAAAGUUGAUAGAAAGCUAUGUAAAGUUGGCUUUCUGCAAGUUUUUGUUGGUGGUCGUGUGUCAGGAGGUAGUGAAAGAGCAAAGGUUUGGGACCGUAGAGCAGGUGGCUUUAAAAUUUGUUCAUAGAAGCAGUAAAGGUUGCGAUUAUGGUCCUCCAUAUGAGUGGCAAGUUUAUAUCACUCUUGGUGGCAGUCAUGGAGUUUCGAGAGUACACUAUAAAGUAGUUCAAUCUUCCUGUCACCGGGGGAUUCUGUAAACAACUACUUGCUAUCGCACAAUCUAAAGUGAAGGAUAACAAUAAGAUGUCUUAUGGUUAUUACUGUAUCACAAAAACAAGUUGUUAUAAUUGAUGAUGAAGCUGCUAAAAGAAGUGUAUCAAAUCUUGUUCAGAAGAAGGAAGUUGUGAAGCCCAAGCAAGAGGAAUUAAUUGAAAUUAGUCCAGAUACAAAAGAAGGUUAAGAAGGAAAAUCCCCAGAAAGCACCAAGGAAGAAAGUUCAAACCUUAAUGCAGUUUUAUCUGCUCAUAGCAAGUUUGUGGACAUUGAUGGAGGAGAUGCUGAUAAUCAGUUGGAAGCUGUGGAGUAUGUCGUGGAUUUGUACGAAUGUUACAAGCUCGCAGAGAUGGAAAGUGUCAGGAAAGCAGCAAAAGUAGCUGCGAUGAGAAGUGCUGUUGGAGCACUUCAUUUGGGUGGAACUGCCUGGAGAUAUUUAAAGAGUCCUCAUGGUACUCUCUUGUAGCUCUACUGUUUGAAUACCCGAAUAUUGUAUACUUAUUGCUUAUCAUGUGCUAUGACACUUAAGUCUCCUAGUAAAUUUUGGAAAACCAAAUCGAGCUAUGAGAAAAUGAACUACUGGAACCUUAUUCUUUUGUUGUCAUCUUGUAGCGAUUCUUUUCACUUUCGAUUGACAUUGGCUAAUGAUUACUAGUGGUAUUCAAAUCCUGUUGUCUCUCUCCAUGCGUUUGAAUGAGUGAUAUAUAGCAUCCUUUCAGCAUAUUUUGUGACCUCAUGUGUUCAUUCUAGAGAAAUAGAUGCCCAAGGUUUGGCCUGCUCGGCAUUGCAGUCUCUUGUAUAGAUUUAUCUGGCUGCAUGGAAAUGUCCUGCGUACUCCCUUUAGACUACGCAAAAUAUUAAUUACUUUUAAGCAGUCAGUGGUGGUUAAGCGACUUCGUUAGUUUCCUUCUUCUACCUACAAUGUAUGAAAUUCCGAUGUUGGGUUAUGGGGGAUCUGGGAUUAGGAUUAACAUUGUUAAAGACUAGUUGCACUAGUUUAUUCAAUUCAAAGGGUUGUUCUUGCUAUCACUAGAUUUUCUUUACCCCUUGGUUGGUGUAAUUUUGGAAUAUGAGCGGCAUAGUAAAAGUACAAGAUAUUUUUGUUAAGUACCAUGUUUACCAUGGUCCUCCUGCAAACAUUGAUAAAUCAUACAUUUCUUAAAGUAAUUUUUAUCUAAUUUUUGAUCCCAUCAUGCAGAAGUCAGGCCUAGUUCAUGAUUAUAUGGGUUCACAUCAACCAACCAAGCCUAAUUCAUGCUCCUCAUGUUCGUACAAACUAUUAAUUGCAUGAAUGUUAAUUAGUUAAAUGUUUGCCAAUUAGAAAUAAGUCUUUCGGUGGCCUUGCGUGCAAUAUUUUGUUUAUAACAUGCAGGUGCAGUAAAUAAGUUGUAGGUUAUGUUUUCGCCUCAAUUUAAUCUAAGAUUAUUCUACUCUCGCCAGCUUCUUUUCUUCUGUUUUUUUGCGAACUUAAUUGUGCGAGAAAUUCUGAUUUUGUUAAUCAAAUUGAACAAAGCAUCCUAACUUCAACUCUGAUGCUUGUAUGUUAAUCAAAUU